rnacentral:lncRNA from 1 species
AGAGAGAGAACUAAUACUGACUGAUCACCUCCUGUAUGCCAAGCAGCAUGCCUUGUGCUUCAAACAUCUUGACUCAUUGGAUUCUGCCCACGACCCCAUGAAAUGAGAAAAUGGAGGCCCAGAGAGGGCAAGUAACUCAUGCAAGCUCCCGCAACCACCAAACAGCAGAGACAAGAGAGAGAGAGAGGGACAAGACCUCUUGGGGCUGAACAAAACUCAAACAAGAUGGUAGGAGUUCUUGCAGUCAUCUUGGACCCUGAGUUGAAAGGAAAUUGGACUCCUGAAAACAGUGUGAAUUUUCCAUACCAGCCCUGGCCUGCUUACAUCCAGACUCACUUUAUGUGAAAGGAAAAUAAACUUCUAUGUUGCUUUAGCCAAGGUUAUUUUGGAGUUUUCUGUUAAAAUGCACUGUGCC